UACGUAGGGGGCUAGCGUUGUCCGGAAUCAUUGGGCGUAAAGAGCGUGUAGGCGGUCCGGUAAGUCCGCUGCGAAAGUCGGGGGCUCAACCCUCGAAUGCCGGUGGAUACUGUCGGGCUAGAGUGCGGAAGAGGCGAGUGGAAUUCCUGGUGUAGCGGUGAAAUGCGCAGAUAUCAGGAGGAACACCUGAGGUGAAGACGGGUUGCUGGGCCGACACUGACGCUGAUGCGCGAAAGCCAGGGGAGCAAACGGG
rnacentral:rRNA from 1 species